CCUGUAAUGGCGUCUCCGACCGGUUCAACAACUUCAAAAUUCUUCUUUCACUUUCACCAAAAUGCGUCUCAUCAUGGGUUAAGGAGAGAGAGCUGCAGUGAAGUAUGUUUCUCCAGCAGAUGGCGUCAGAGUGUUUUUGGUUGAGGUUGCAGAUUUCACAGAUAUUUUAAAGGAUACUCCCCCUGACGUUUGAUGCUCCUCCUGUGAUUUGAUUGAGGACAGUUACAGUAAACUCAGAUUGACGCCUGACACAGUUGCUCCAGUAAAACUGUAAAAGAUCAGAACAACUCCAAAACCUUCCUGGAGAAACACUUUGAUUGUUGAACUGAAGAGAAACUGCAGAAAAGCAGAGAGAAAAUGUCAGGACAGUCUUUAGAGAUAUUUUUUAUAGAGAGAAUUUAUGUGACUGUUUAGAUUUAUGUUUCAGAGGUUUGUUCCUCCCACUGGAGAGUCUCAGCAGGGCAAGUAAAGUGCAGCAAGUGCAGGUAGAGUGGGGGAUGGUAGGCAGAGGCAUCGAAGAGGCUCAGGGACAGGUGUGUCACUCUUUGUUGCAGAGAGAGUGUUUGGUGGCAUCACUGCAGGAGACCUCAGAGACGCCAGUGGUGAGAAAAUCCUCAUUUAAAUCAAAUUAACAGUUAAAAUAACUUUAAUUCAGUGACUGAGAGGUUGAGAUAUUUGAGUUUAUUGAUAAUGUAAGCCCUGUGAGCUUAAAAUAUAAUGUUAAAACUAAUAUAGUUGUUUCCUAGUCGUUCUUAGUUGUUGUUUAAAUUUAUGCAAGCUCUCAUAGAGGGAUAGAUUUGAUUUAAAUCAACCGUAAAAUUAAAUAUUAAGUUUGAGUAAAAAUGAAUUACAUGUCGAGUAUUUAGCAUCAUUUAAAAUAAUUUAAAACGGUUAAAAAGCCAAAUUUAUUUUGAAAUGAAUUGGAAUGAUUUAAAAUAAUUUAAGAAUUGAUAGUUUACCCAUGAAUUUAAUUUGUUUAAUUCUUAAAUUUAAUAACCCUUUUUUUAAAUUAGUACUGAUGAGUUAAUUUAUCUGUGCCUAUUUAAUGACAGCCUCAUUUCAUUUAUUUCCUUUGAGGUUAUCUACCUGCUUCUGCACUGAUUACCAUCUACAAUAAAAGGAACCCAAGCAAGCUGAGUUGUCCACAGUGUCCUCUGUUGAUCUCCAGGCCUUGAGCGAGUUGGGGCAGGCAAUGAUGCCGGGAAAAGAGGAAAUUUAACUCGAGAGAAAACGAUGUAACAACAAACUGACAAUAAAUGAUCUGUUUUUUUUUAACAACUUGGUAAUUACAAUAAGACAGUUUAAAGUGCAAGAAAA